rnacentral:rRNA from 1 species
AUUGAACGCUGGCGGAAUGCUUUACACAUGCAAGUCGAACGGCAGCACGGACUUCGGUCUGGUGGCGGGUGGCGAACGGGUGAGUAAUGCAUCGGAACGUGCCCAGUAGUGGGGGAUAGCCCGGCGAAAGCCGGAUUAAUACCGCAUACGACCUGAGGGUGAACGGGGGGAUCGCAAGACCUCUCGACAUUGGAGCGGCCGAGGUCCGAUUAGCUAGUUGGUGGGGUAAAGGCCUACCAAGGCAACGAUCUGUAGUUGGGCUGAGAGGACGACCAGCCACACUGGGACUGGGACACCGCCCAGACUCCUACGGGAGGCAGCAGUGGGGAAUUUUGGACAAUGGGCGCAAGCCUGAUCCAGCAAUGCCGCGUGCAGGAAGAAGGCCUUCGGGUUGUAAACUGCUUUUGUCAGGGAAGAAAUCUUCUGGGUUAAUACCUCGGGAGGAUGACGGUACCUGAAGAAUAAGCACCGGCUAACUACGUGCCAGCAGCCGCCGUAA